AUUGAACGCUAGCGGGAUGCUUUACACAUGCAAGUCGAACGGCAGCGCGGACUUCGGUCUGGCGGCGAGUGGCGAACGGGUGAGUAAUAUAUCGGAACGUGCCCAGUAGCGGGGGAUAACUACGCGAAAGCGUGGCUAAUACCGCAUACGCCCUACGGGGGAAAGGGGGGGAUUCUUCGGAACCUCUCACUAUUGGAGCG
rnacentral:rRNA from 1 species